AGUGAACGCUGGCGGUAGGCCUAACACAUGCAAGUCGAACGGCAGCACAGUAAUAGCUUGCUCUUACGGGUGGCGAGUGGCGGACGGGUGAGGAAUACAUCGGAAUCUACUUUUUCGUGGGGGAUAACGUAGGGAAACUUACGCUAAUACCGCAUACGACCUACGGGUGAAAGCAGGGGAUCUUCGGCCCUUGCGCGAUUGAAUGAGCCGAUGUCGGAUUAGCUAGUUGGCGGGGUAAAGGCCCACCAAGGCGACGAUCCGUAGCUGGUCUGAGAGGAUGAUCAGCCACACUGGAACUGAGACACGGUCCAGACUCCUACGGGAGGCAGCAGUGGGGAAUAUUGGACAAUGGGCGCAAGCCUGAUCCAGCCAUACCGCGUGGGUGAAGAAGGCCUUCGGGUUGUAAAGCCCUUUUGUUGGGAAAGAAAAGCAGCAGGUUAAUACCCCGCUGUUCUGACGGUACCAAAAGAAUAAGCACCGGCUAACUUCGUG
rnacentral:rRNA from 1 species